GAUGAAGAACGCAGCGAAAUGCGAUAAGUAAUGUGAAUUGCAGAAUUCAGUGAAUCAUCGAGUCUUUGAACGCACAUUGCGCCCCCUGGUAUUCCGGGGGGCAUGCCUGUCCGAGCGUCAUUGCUGCCCUCAAGCAGGGCUUGUGUGUUGGGCCGUCGUCCCCCUCCUAGGGGACGGGCCCGAAAGGCAGCGGCGGCACCGCGUCCGGUCCUCGAGCGUAUGGGGCUUCGUCACCCGCUCCGUAGGCCCGGCCGGCGCUUGCCGACGACCAUCAAUCUCUUUCUCCAGGUUGACCUCGGAUCAGGUAGGGAUACCCGCUGAACUUAAGCAUAUCAAAACCGGAGGA
rnacentral:misc_RNA from 1 species